rnacentral:rRNA from 1 species
GAUCAUGGCUCAGGAUGAACGCUGGCGGCGUGCUUAACACAUGCAAGUCGAACGAAGCUAAGGGAGCUUGCUCCCAAAGCUUAGUGGCGGACGGGUGAGUAACGCGUGGGUAACCUGCCCUAUAGAGGGGGAUAACGUUCGGAAACGAACGCUAAUACCGCAUAAACCAUAAGGAGCUGCAUGGCUCUGAUGGCAAAGAUUUAUCGCUAUAGGAUGGACCUGCGUUGGAUUAGCUAGUUGGUGAGAUAACAGCUCACCAAGGCGACGAUCCAUAGCCGGCCUGAGAGGGUGAACGGCCACAUUGGGACUGAGACACGGCCCAAACUCCUACGGGAGGCAGCAGUGGGGAAUAUUGCACAAUGGGCGCAAGCCUGAUUGCAGCGACGCCGCGUGAAGGAAGAAGGUCUUCGGAUUGUAAACUUCUAUCAGCAGGGAAGAAUAAAUGACGGUACCUGACUAAGAAGCCCCGGCUAACUACGUGCCAGCCGCCGC